GACGAACGCUGGCGGCGUGCCUAAUACAUGCAAGUCGAACGCUUCUUUCCUCCCGAGUGCUUGCACUCAAUUGGAAAGAAGAGUGGCGAACGGGUGAGUAACACGUGGGUAACCUGCCCAUCAGAAGGGGAUAACACUUGGAAACAGGUGCUAAUACCGUAUAACAAUCAAAACCGCAUGGUUUUGAUUUGAAAGGCGCUUUCGGGUGUCGCUGAUGGAUGGACCCGCGGUGCAUUAGCUAGUUGGUGAGGUAACGGCUCACCAAGGCCACGAUGCAUAGCCGACCUGAGAGGGUGAUCGGCCACAUUGGGACUGAGACACGGCCCAAACUCCUACGGGAGGCAGCAGUAGGGAAUCUUCGGCAAUGGACGAAAGUCUGACCGAGCAACGCCGCGUGAGUGAAGAAGGUUUUCGGAUCGUAAAACUCUGUUGUUAGAGAAGAACAAGGAUGAGAGUAACUGUUCAUCCCUUGACGGUAUCUAACCAGAAAGCCACGGCUAACUACGUGCCAGCAGCCGCGGUAAUACGUAGGUGGCAAGCGUUGUCCGGAUUUAUUGGGCGUAAAGCGAGCGCAGGCGGUUUCUUAAGUCUGAUGUGAAAGCCCCCGGCUCAACCGGGGAGGGUCAUUGGAAACUGGGAGACUUGAGUGCAGAAGAGGAGAGUGGAAUUCCAUGUGUAGCGGUGAAAUGCGUAGAUAUAUGGAGGAACACCAGUGGCGAAGGCGGCUCUCUGGUCUGUAACUGACGCUGAGGC
rnacentral:rRNA from 1 species